GGCCGCAGGCGGGGGGCGGCCCUGGUCGGCGCUCGCCCCUUGGGUGAGCGGGGCAGGCUGAGGCCGGACCCGCACCCAGCGUUUGGGGGCCGGAGCAAUACGUGGACGCCACGUCGGCCUUGUCACUGACCCCACCGGAACCCAGCCUGAGAGAAGCGCGAGUUGUGGGUGUCACAACUCGGGGCUACGGGGGUGACCGGGUAGAGAGGUGGAGCCAGCAGGGAAAAUGUCUUUGAGGAGGUGAUGGUGAAGUUGAAGUCAAGAAAAUGAGGAGAUAGCUUUGGGAAAAGCCAAGCAGAGACAUUCCAAGUCAAGAACAGUUUGUGCCGAGGCCCUGAGGAAGACUUUCCAGUUCUAGCUGGCCACAUGGCUUGCCUGAAUAAAAGCAAGUUUCUAGGACUCCCUCAUGGCUGCGUGUGGUCACAUGACUCAGUUCCAGCCAACAGGAAGGAAGUGGAGGUGUCCACGUGCAACUUUGGAGAAGUAGCUUUAAAGAGAAGUGGUGUGCUUAUCUCAGCCAUUGGUCUCUCCUGCUCACUGGAAUAUGUAAAUAGAGCUGCAGACAGCCUAUUGAACUUUGAAGCCUAGCCAUGUGUUGAGGAUGUUAGUGCAACAAGUUAGAAUAAAUCCAGGUUCCUAAUGUUUAGGGAGCCACCGUACGUGCUCUGGGCUAUUACCUCUUGAUUUUGUAUUUGAGAAAAAGAAAUUUCUGUCUUGUUUAAUCCUCUGUUUUCCAGUGCUCAUAGCCAUAUCUAAUUUUUACUUCUGUUAGGAUACAAAGGGUUUUGUUAAAAUAUGGAAGUUAUUAGAGCAGGUUUGAAGAGUGAUAGGAAUGAUGCAGGAGUGAUGAUUCUGAAGAAAAGGUGGAAGGAGAUGUUAUGUGAGCAUGAAUGGUGAGGACACCUCUGGUAGAGGGAUGACUCCACCAUUAUUAAAAAGGGGGGUGUGGAGACAGAGAAGAUGUUUCCAGUGAAAGUUGCAAUUGGGAAGAUGGUCAUCCAUACCUGAUGAUUUCUGGUUAACCCUGGAUGUGAAGGAGGUCAUGAGCCUAGAACAAGGAGGAGAGAGUAAGGCCAGCUUUGUGAAUCAUGGACCCGAUGAUGUUGGAGGUCCUGCCAGCCUGAGCAGCCUCAGGGAGACAGCUGCUUUCUGGAACAGUUGGCCACACUGCUGCAGGGCAUGAAGAGGGUGAGGGGAGUGCCCACAAAACCGGCAAGGCCUCCACCCCUCCC